rnacentral:rRNA from 1 species
GACGGGGGAUGCAAGCGUUAUCCGGAAUCACUGGGCGUAAAGCGUCUGUAGGUGGUGAUGCAAGUCACUGGUGCAAAACUCUGGCUCAACCGGAGGAAAGCCAGUGAAACUGCAUGACUAGAGUGUGGGAGAGGUAGAAGGAAUUCCCUGAGUAGCGGUGAAAUGCGUAGAUACAGGGAAGAACACCGGAGGCGAAAGCGUUCUACUGGAACACAACUGACACUGAGGUACGAAAGAUAGGGGAGCGAAUGGG